CACGUAGGCACCAAGCGUUGUCCGGAUUUAUUGGGCGUAAAGAGCUCGUAGGCGGUUCAGUAAGGCGGGUGUGAAAACUCUGGGCUCAACCCAGAGACGCCACCCGAUACUGCUGUGACUUGAGUACGGUAGGGGAGUGGGGAAUUCCUGGUGUAGCGGUGGAAUGCGCAGAUAUCAGGAGGAACACCAGUGGCGAAGGCGCCACUCUGGGCCGUAACUGACGCUGAGGAGCGAAAGCGUGGGUAGCAAACCGG
rnacentral:rRNA from 1 species